rnacentral:rRNA from 1 species
CCUACGGGGGGCAGCAAUUAGGAAUCUUGCGCAAUGGGCGGAAGCCUGACGCAGCGACGCCGCGUGGAGGAGAAGUCUUUCGGGAUGUAAACUUCUUUUAAGAGGGAAGAAGCGAUUGACGGUACCUCUUGAAUAAGCCCCGGCUAACUACGUGCCAGCAGCCGCGGUAAUACGUAGGGGGCGAGCGUUGUCCGAAGUUACUGGGCGUAAAGCGCGCGUAGGCGGGCUGUUAAGUCAGAUGUGAAAUCCCCGCGGCUCAACCGGGAAAGUGCAUCUGAGACUGGCAGUCUUGAGCGGUGGAGAGGGAAGUGAAAUUCCUGGUGUAGCGGUGAAAUGCGUAGAUAUCAGGAGGAACAUCCGUGGCGAAGGCGGCUUCCUGGCCACAAGCUGACGCUGAGGUGCGAAAGCCAGGGGAGCGAACGGGAUUAGAUCCCCCUGUAGU